AUGCACGCUGGCGGCGUGCCUCAUCCAUGCAAGUCGAGCGAACGGACGAGAAGCUUGCUUCUCUGAUGUUAGCGGCGGACGGGUGAGUAACACGUGGAUAACCUACCUAUAAGACUGGGAUAACUUCGGGAAACCGGAGCUAAUACCGGAUAAUAUUUUGAACCGCAUGGUUCAAAAGUGAAAGACGGUCUUGCUGUCACUUAUAGAUGGAUCCGCGCUGCAUUAGCUAGUUGGUAAGGUAACGGCUUACCAAGGCAACGAUGCAUAGCCGACCUGAGAGGGUGAUCGGCCACACUGGAACGGAGACACGGUCCAGACUCCUACGGGAGGCAGCAGUAGGGAAUCUUCCGCAAUGGGCGAAAGCCUGACGGAGCAACGCCGCGUGAGUGAUGAAGGUCUUCGGAUCGUAAAACUCUGUUAUUAGGGAAGAACAUAUGUGUAAGUAACUGUGCACAUCUUGACGGUACCUAAUCAGAAAGCCACGGCUAACUACGUG
rnacentral:rRNA from 1 species